CUCUUACCUACUCUGGAGUGCAGCGGUGCAAUCAAGGCUCACUGCAGUCUUAACCUCCUGGGUUCAGAUGAUCUGCUCAUGUCAGUCUCUCAUGUAGCUGGGAACACAGCCAUAUGAAGAUGGGCUGGCUUCUGCUUCACCUUCUGCCAUGAGGGUAUUGAAUACUAUAUGCUUUAAUGUUAGAGGCUCACAAGAAUUCAGAAAUGACAUUAAGCCAUAAAGAACUCUGUAAAGUACUUUUAUAUACUGUCAUUGCACAAUCAGUUACCCUCAGAAAGGGGUAAAACUCACAAAAAGGCAACACUCCGUGAAGACUUCUCAGCCAUUGGUGUUCAUCUGGUUAUCGAGUGAUCAGCUGUUCGUUGACUCCCCAGGUUGGAAAGAAAAGAGCAGGGAGCAGUGAGUGGUGUGAUUGUUCUCAAUAGAACAUAGAAGAUGUCAUGACCCUAGGCUAAUAUAAUGAAGAAAUGCAUUAGAAUCAACAUUGUGUCUCACUAAAUCUUUCUUUAAAUGUGUAUGUUUGCUUCUCUUCCAUUUUGCAUCAUUUCUAUUUAAAUUCCUAACUGGUGUUUGAUUACUUAAAAAUGUUUAUUGUUAACACUCAUUUAUAGUCUAUCUUAAAAAGCAGCACUAUAGUAUGGAAAAAAGGAAAUUAAUUCAUGAGUUUAUGGGCUUUAGAAUUUAAUGGGCCUGCUAUAUGUUCUUGCUGUUUUACUAGCUUUGAACACAUUCUAAAUCUUUUUCUCGAGCUCUCAGUUUCAUCAUCUGUAAAUGGGUAAUUUAUUCCUGGAACCUCACACAAACUUAGAGAGGCACACGACCCAUGAGAAACAGUAUCACAUGCGAGCCUACAGGAAGGGGAGCCAGUCUGACAGCAGCUGAGUCCCACCUCUGCCAUUCACUAACUGUGUGCGCUGAGAAAAUUCACUCCAUCUGUGCCUCAGGUGUUUCGUCUGUAAAAUAGGUUUUUCAUAGGGCUUUGUGAAAGAGUAAAUGAUUCAAUACAUGUAAACUACUUAGAAUUGUGCCUGGCAUAAAGGACGGGUUCAGUAUAUCUUAGCAAUUAUCAUGAGCAGUUGAGUAUCUUGACUCCAGAAUUUUCAGUUUAGAUAUACUUACCUGAACUCAGGGAAAUGUCUUAAGUCUAAGGCCCUAAAACAUAGACACAUUGGUUUGCUAGCCUAUGGAAACCUAUUUCAGGCAGGAGUUGAAUUACCCAUGCACAGGCAUUACAAAUAAUAUCCACAUUUCUAACUCGAUGACGUAAGUUGUUACUCAUCCUGAAGAAGUGUCUGUUUGUGAGGGCCAAUACAUUACUGUGAGAGUCUUAAGUAAUCAAAACCAUAGGGGCUUGAGAGCUGGGUUCAGCAGUAAGGACCUCUUCACUUGAAAGUGUAAUUAUUUUAAUUUUUGAAGAGACUCUCCCUUUUUAGGACCUUCUUCAAAGAUGAAUUUCUUUUUUUUUCUUUCCUUUUUUACUUUUAAUUUUAUUAUAUUCAGUAUACCCUCACUGAUGAAUAGCCAUGCUGGGCAGACAACGUGAAAGGAGUGAACACCUCUGUUUGAAGUGGGUCUUGGGAAGUAAGAAGUGAGAGGCAAUUAAAUACAAAUUCUGUCAUCCUGCUUCUUUUGACACUUUACAUAUUUUGUAUAGAAUCUGCCACAUGCUGGGAGUUUACUGACUGCAUUAAAAGGCCACAAUCUCUUCCAUGUAGAACAUUUCCAUACCUGAGGUAUUUGUUACCAUCUGACUACUCCAUCUGGCAAAAGCAAUCCUCUUAAACACUGUCUCCUUGACCAAGCUAUUCAUGAUUACAUGAAAGAGAGGGUCAUCCAUACCAUCCCAUUAUGUUAAAAACAACUUCAUUUUUUGUUUUCAGGAUUUGUUUCCCUGUUAGGCCCAUUGUAAAACAAUGUUGAUUUUUUUUAAAUUUCAACUUUUAUUUUAGGUACAGGAGGUACAUGUCCAGAUUUGUUACAUGGAAAUAUUACAUGAUGCUGAGGUUUGGAGUCUAGACCCCAUUACCAAGUAGUAAGCAUAGUACCCAAUAGGUAGUUUUUGUUUAACCCCCACUCUACCUGCUAGUAGUUCACAGUGUCUGUAUUUUCCAUAUUUAUGUCCAUGUGUGCUCAAUGUUUAGAUUCCACUUAUAGGUAAGAACAUUAGGUGUUUGGUUUUCUGUUCCUGUGUUAAUUGUCUUAGGAUUUUGGCCUCCAGCUCCACCCAUAUUGCUGCAAAGGACAUUAUUUCAUCCUUUUUAUGGCUGCGUAAUAUUCUAUAGCAUAUAUUUUCCCUAUUUUCUCAGGUCACUGCAACCUUGAACUCCUGAGCUCAAACAAUCCUCUCAUCUCAGCCUCCUGAGUAGCUGGGGCCACAGGCAUGCACUACUGUGCCCAGGUAAUUUUUGCAUUUUUGGUAGAGACAGGGUUUUGUCAUGUUGCUUAGGCUGCUCUCAAACUCCUGGCUCAAGCAAUCCUCCUGCCUCAGCCUCCCA